rnacentral:rRNA from 1 species
UACGGAGGGUGCAAGCGUUAAUCGGAAUUACUGGGCGUAAAGCGUGCGCAGGCGGUUUGUUAAGUCCGCUGUGAAAUCCCCGAGCUCAACUUGGGAAUUGCAGUGGAUACUGGCAGGCUGGAGUACGGUAGAGGAAGGUGGAAUUCCCGGUGUAGCAGUGAAAUGCGUAGAUAUCGGGAGGAACACCUGUGGCGAAGGCAAUCCCCUGGGCCUGCACUGACGCUCAUGCACGAAAGCGUGGGGAGCAAACAGG